rnacentral:tRNA from 1 species
CAGGGUGUGGCUAAAUAGUAAAGCAUCUCUCUUACACUGAGAAAACACUCGUGCAAGUCGAGUCACCCUGA